rnacentral:other from 1 species
UGUUCCCUGGGAUGUGCGCCAACCGGUCGCGUCCCCUGAGCCGAUGUUUUUUACGCAAGGGAAGUCUUCGUCAUGGUGGUGUGCAUGUCCGUUUUACGGAAAGCCUAAUACCAUGCAAGGUUUCCCACCUUGGACCCCUGGGUUCAAGGGUCAAGAUCGGUAGCGGCAUCCUGGAGAACGU